UACGUAGGGUGCAAGCGUUGUCCGGAAUUAUUGGGCGUAAAGAGCUCGUAGGCGGUCUGUUGCGUCGGCUGUGAAAACCCGGGGGCUCAACCCCGGGCCUGCAGCCGAUACGGGCAGACUAGAGUUCGGCAGGGGAGACUGGAAUUCCUGGUGUAGCGGUGAAAUGCGCAGAUAUCAGGAGGAACACCGGUGGCGAAGGCGGGUCUCUGGGCCGAUACUGACGCUGAGGAGCGAAAGCGUGGGGAGCGAACAGG
rnacentral:rRNA from 1 species